ensembl:rRNA RNA5SP535 RNA, 5S ribosomal pseudogene 535
GUCUACAGCCAUACCACCCUGAAUGCUGGAAGCUAAGCAGGAUUGGGCCUGGUUAGUACUUGAUGUUUAUGGCCAUACCAUCCUCGAUGUACCUGAUAUUGAAAGCU